AUGAACGCAGCGACAGGCCUAACACAUGCAAGGUCGAGGGGCAGCACAAGGAGCAAUCUGAGGUGGCGACCGGCGCACGGGUGAGUAACACGUAUGCAACCUGCCUGUAAGCGGGGAAUAACCCGUUGAAAGACGGACUAAUACCGCAUAAUACUAAAUUACUGCAUGGUAAUUUAUUUAAACAUUUAUGGCUUACAGAUGGGCAUGCGCAUGAUUAGCUAGUUGGAGAGGUAACGGCUCCCCAAGGCAACGAUCAUUAGGGGUUCUGAGAGGAAGGUCCCCCCACACUGGUACUGAGACACGGACCAGACUCCUACGGGAGGCAGCAGUGAGGAAUAUUGGUCAAUGGACGAGAGUCUGAACCAGCCAAGUCGCGUGCAGGAAGAAUGUCCUAUGGAUUGUAAACUGCUUUUGCAGGGGAAUAAAGUGCAUCACGUGUGAUGUUUUGUAUGUACUCUGCGAAUAAGGAUCGGCUAACUCCGUGCCAGCCGCCGC
rnacentral:rRNA from 1 species